rnacentral:sRNA from 1 species
ACCGCCGAGUCGCUUUCAGCGAGCCGGGGACCCACCGUCCGGCAGGAGGACAUGGGGUGUAUCCGCGCGGUCGGCGCGGUAGGGCAGUCUUCGGCCCGAACCCGACAGCUAACCCGGUAGGCGG